AAAAUGAGCUUGCACCAUGUUGAUACACCUGCUGAGUGCCAGUAGGAAUUGAACCUGACAAGGUUCAGGUAUGAGUGGUGGCUGGAAAGCCUCAAAAGAGAAGAGGCAGCAUCUUGAAAUCUCCCAUCUCUAAACAACUAGAAUUAGAGCAACAACUUUUAACAAUUCAUCUAAUUUCAGAAACAGAUUCUAUAUUUCUAGCCUAAAAUGUUUACUGCAACGGAACUUAAAGUCUUUGCUACAAAAGAUAUUCUCCCCAAGACCUUUGUUGCGGAAUACAAGGGAGUUCUCUUGAAUAAGGAGGAGGCUUCAAGGAAAGAAGAGAUUUAUAAGUUAAUGAAGCAGGAUAAGUUUUUCCUUCUUGAUAUCGGACCAAACAAAACGAUCGAUGCGACAAAUUCAAUUGGCACCUACAGACCUCAGAGGACCCCUCCAAGGUCCUGGGUGCCCAA